GUUCCGUGUUCCUAUUGGUCAGAUGCUUUACUGUAUAUCGGACCAUCGAGUGGGAGUAGUAGGCGAGUGUGGAGAGUUUAUAUGAACCUGCAUGAAUAGGUGCGCUCCUUUUGAAAGCUAAUGUGUUAAACGGCACAGGUGGAACCAGGGAUCUGUAUAAACCCUGGAUUGCUGAUGCUAUGUAUUGGCCAAUGGUCCAUGCUAUCUGUGGGACAUCCCUACCCAAUGAAGUUGAAAUUGAAAAUGGUUAAGUUUUCCCUAUUAAAACAUGGACACCUACCACGCUGCGUAUUGGUCCGAUCCUUGCUACACCUCUUCAGAGGAAGAAGAGGACGACAGCCAUGACAGAAUCACCCACCAACCAAGGACCAAGCAGCGUGGUAUCGGGCAGCAGCGAUCGCAGGACUCCUGGACCUGGGAGGAGAUUCUGGAUGGAAAAGGACCCUGGUCGCAGGCUGGGGAAUAUCGCCGUCCCAAAGCAGAGCUGGAGGCAGCGAAAGCUGAGCGGCGGCGAUAUGAGGAGGCAGCACGGCAGCGCGACAGGUACGAGAGGCAACCCCAAAAAAUGUUUUUGGGGGGGCACACGGGAGUGUGGUAAGCCAGGUAGCAGACCUGAGCUCACUCCUCGUGCUUAUUAUAAGCAGCGCGUUACUGGUCAGGCACCAUGUUAUGCGGUUAAGCGCACGGUGUCGCCAGUACGUGUCCAUAGUCUGGUGCGCUAUAGGGCAGCCCCCCGAAAGUGUCAUGCGAGUGUGGGCAUCCAGCCAGGGCGUAUUGUGCCUGCUCAGCAUGUCUGGUCUCCGGUACGCCGUUUCGGUCCAGGUUAACCUGCGCCGGCUCUGCGUGCUGCGUCUCCGGGGCGCUGGGAGGGUGCAGUGCGUCCUAUGCCUGCGCUCCGCUCGAGCCGGGCAAAUGUGGGAGUGGAGCCUAAGGGAGAGGUGCAUGUAGUAGGCACUAGAUCUCCAGUGCUCACCCACAGCCCGGUUCAACCUGUGCCUGCACUCUGGAGAGUCCGGGCUAGAGUAGUAUUCCAGCCUGGGGGAGUGGUGCCAAGGCUGCGCACCAGAACUCCAGUGCUCCCCCACAGCCCGGUCCUUCAGCUGACCUCCUAACACCAAGCCUCCUGUAGGUCUCCCCAGCCUGGUGGGUCCUGUGGCAGUCCCACGCACCAGGCUGUCUUUCCGUCUCCUCCCUACAGGUGUGCCCGUCUGCCCAGCGCCGCCUGCGCUGCCCGUCUGCCCAGCGCCAUCUGAGCUGUCCGUCUGCCAAGCGCCGCCUGCGUUGCCCGUCUGCCCUGCGCCGCUAGAGCCGCCCGUCUGUCAGGAGCCGCUAGAGCCGUCCAUCAGUCAGGAGCUGCCAGAGCCGCCCGCCAGUCAGGAGCUGCCAGAGCCGCCCGCCAGUCAGGAGCUGCCAGAGCCACUCGCCAGUCAGGAGCUGCCAGAGCCGCCCGCCAGUCAGGAGCUGCCCCUCAGUCAGGAGCCGCCCCUCAGUCCAGUGGGGCCUUUAAUUAGGAUCUUAGACCCUAGGUCGGAGGCGAGGGUCGUCCCUCUGUAGAGGCCCUUGAAGAGGGAAAUGACUAUGGUAGAGUGGGGUCUACGUCCCGCACCUGAACCGCCGCCAUGAAUGAGGCCCACCCGGACCCUCCCCUUUAGAUUAGGUUUUUGCGGCCGGAGUCCGCACCUUUGUGGGGGGGGUACUGUCACGCCCUGACCUGAGUAUUCUUUGUUUUCUUUAAAUAUUUUGGUUAGGUCAGGAUGUGACGAGGGUGGUUUGUGUGUUUUUGUCUCGUCUAGGGUGUUUGUACUGUCUAGGGUUAUUUUGUAGAUUUAUGGGGUUGUGUUCAUUCUAGGUGUUUAUGUAAGUCUAUGGUUGCCUAGAUUGGUUCUCAAUUACAGGCAGGUGUUUAUCGUUGUCUCUGAUUGGGAACCAUAUUUAGGCAGCCAUGUUCUUUGGGUAUUUUGUGGGUGAUUGUUUCCUGUGUCAGUGUUUGUGCCACACGGGACUGUUUCGGUUUGUUCACGUUUAUUGUUUUUGUAUUUGUGUUCAUGUUCAGUUUUCCCUAUUAAAACAUGGACACCUA